UUAAGCGACUAAGCGUACACGGUGGAUGCCCUGGCAGUCAGAGGCGAUGAAGGACGUGCUAAUCUGCGAAAAGCGUCGGUAAGGUGAUAUGAACCGUUAUAACCGGCGAUGUCCGAAUGGGGAAACCCAGUGCAAUUCGUUGCACUAUCGUUAACUGAAUACAUAGGUUAACGAGGCGAACCGGGGGAACUGAAACAUCUAAGUACCCCGAGGAAAAGAAAUCAACCGAGAUUCCCCCAGUAGCGGCGAGCGAACGGGGAGCAGCCCAGAGUCUGAAUCAGCUUGUGUGUUAGUGGAACGGUCUGGAAAGUCCGACGGUACAGGGUGAUAGUCCCGUACACCAAAAUGCACAGGCUGUGAACUCGAAGAGUAGGGCGGGACACGUGGUAUCCUGUCUGAAUAUGGGGGGACCAUCCUCCAAGGCUAAAUACUCCUGACUGACCGAUAGUGAACCAGUACCGUGAGGGAAAGGCGAAAAGAACCCCGGCGAGGGGAGUGAAAAAGAACCUGAAACCGUGUACGUACAAGCAGUGGGAGCACCUUCGGGUGUGACUGCGUACCUUUUGUAUAAUGGGUCAGCGACUUAUAUUCUGUAGCAAGGUUAACCGUAUAGGGGAGCCGCAGGGAAACCGAGUCUUAACUGGGCGUUAAGUUGCAGGGUAUAGACCCGAAACCCGGUGAUCUAGCCAUGGGCAGGUUGAAGGUUGGGUAACACUAACUGGAGGACCGAACCGACUAAUGUUGAAAAAUUAGCGGAUGACUUGUGGCUGGGGGUGAAAGGCCAAUCAAACCGGGAGAUAGCUGGUUCUCCCCGAAAGCUAUUUAGGUAGCGCCUCGUGAAUUCAUCUUCGGGGGUAGAGCACUGUUUCGGCUAGGGGGUCAUCCCGACUUACCAACCCGAUGCAAACUACGAAUACCGAAGAAUGUUAUCACGGGAGACACACGGCGGGUGCUAACGUCCGUCGUGAAGAGGGAAACAACCCAGACCGCCAGCUAAGGUCCCAAAGUCAUGGUUAAGUGGGAAACGAUGUGGGAAGGCACAGACAGCCAGGAUGUUGGCUUAGAAGCAGCCAUCAUUUAAAGAAAGCGUAAUAGCUCACUGGUCGAGUCGGCCUGCGCGGAAGAUGUAACGGGGCUAAACCAUGCACCGAAGCUGCGGCAGCGACACUAUGUGUUGUUGGGUAGGGGAGCGUUCUGUAAGCCUGCGAAGGUGACCUGUGAGGGUUGCUGGAGGUAUCAGAAGUGCGAAUGCUGACAUAAGUAACGAUAAAGCGGGUGAAAAGCCCGCUCGCCGGAAGACCAAGGGUUCCUGUCCAACGUUAAUCGGGGCAGGGUGAGUCGACCCCUAAGGCGAGGCCGAAAGGCGUAGUCGAUGGGAAACAGGUUAAUAUUCCUGUACUUGGUGUUACUGCGAAGGGGGGACGGAGAAGGCUAUGUUAGCCGGGCGACGGUUGUCCCGGUUUAAGCAUGUAGGCUGAUUGUCCAGGCAAAUCCGGAUAAUCAAGGCUGAGGUGUGAUGACGAGGCACUACGGUGCUGAAGUAACAAAUGCCCUGCUUCCAGGAAAAGCCUCUAAGCAUCAGGUAACAUCAAAUCGUACCCCAAACCGACACAGGUGGUCAGGUAGAGAAUACCAAGGCGCUUGAGAGAACUCGGGUGAAGGAACUAGGCAAAAUGGUGCCGUAACUUCGGGAGAAGGCACGCUGGUGUGUAGGUGAAGUCCCUGCGGAUGGAGCUGAGACCAGUCGAAGAUACCAGCUGGCUGCAACUGUUUAUUAAAAACACAGCACUGUGCAAACACGAAAGUGGACGUAUACGGUGUGACGCCUGCCCGGUGCCGGAAGGUUAAUUGAUGGGGUUAUCCGUAAGGAGAAGCUCUUGAUCGAAGCCCCGGUAAACGGCGGCCGUAACUAUAACGGUCCUAAGGUAGCGAAAUUCCUUGUCGGGUAAGUUCCGACCUGCACGAAUGGCGUAAUGAUGGCCAGGCUGUCUCCACCCGAGACUCAGUGAAAUUGAACUCGCUGUGAAGAUGCAGUGUACCCGCGGCAAGACGGAAAGACCCCGUGAACCUUUACUAUAGCUUGACACUGAACAUUGAGCCUUGAUGUGUAGGAUAGGUGGGAGGCUUUGAAGCGUGGACGCCAGUCUGCGUGGAGCCAACCUUGAAAUACCACCCUUUAAUGUUUGAUGUUCUAACGUUGGCCCCUUACCGGGGUUGCGGACAGUGUCUGGUGGGUAGUUUGACUGGGGCGGUCUCCUCCCAAAGCGUAACGGAGGAGCACGAAGGUUAGCUAAUCCUGGUCGGACAUCAGGAGGUUAGUGCAAUGGCAUAAGCUAGCUUGACUGCGAGCGUGACGGCGCGAGCAGGUGCGAAAGCAGGUCAUAGUGAUCCGGUGGUUCUGAAUGGAAGGGCCAUCGCUCAACGGAUAAAAGGUACUCCGGGGAUAACAGGCUGAUACCGCCCAAGAGUUCAUAUCGACGGCGGUGUUUGGCACCUCGAUGUCGGCUCAUCACAUCCUGGGGCUGAAGUAGGUCCCAAGGGUAUGGCUGUUCGCCAUUUAAAGUGGUACGCGAGCUGGGUUUAGAACGUCGUGAGACAGUUCGGUCCCUAUCUGCCGUGGGCGCUGGAGAAUUGAGGGGGGCUGCUCCUAGUACGAGAGGACCGGAGUGGACGCAUCACUGGUGUUCGGGUUGUCAUGCCAAUGGCACUGCCCGGUAGCUAAAUGCGGAAGAGAUAAGUGCUGAAAGCAUCUAAGCACGAAACUUGCCCCGAGAUGAGUUCUCCCUGAGACUUUAAGUCUCCUGAAGGAACGUUGAAGACGACGACGUUGAUAGGCCGGGUGUGUAAGCGCAGCGAUGCGUUGAGCUAACCGGUACUAAUGAACCGUGAGGCUUAACCU
rnacentral:rRNA from 1 species